GGAAGUAAAAGUCGUAACAAGGUCUCCGUUGGUGAACCAGCGGAGGGAUCAUUACCGAGUUCUUACAAACUCCCAAACCCCUGUGAACUUAUACCUAUACUGUUGCUUCGGCGGGUCUUUGCCCCGGGGACGGACAGGGAGCCGGCAACGGCCCCCCUGGAAUGCUCGCUGUAGAUAGUAGUGACCGGGGAACUCAAACUCUGUAUUUCUCUUUACUGUAUUAUGCUCGCUGAUAGUGCCUGAUAGUUAAAAUGAAUCAAAACUUUCAACAACGGAUCUCUUGGUUCUGGCAUCGAUGAAGAACGCAGCGAAAUGCGAUAAGUAAUGUGAAUUGCAGAAUUCAGUGAAUCAUCGAAUCUUUGAACGCACAUUGCGCCCGCCAGUACUCUGGCGGGCAUGCCUGUUCGAGCGUCAUUUCAAAUGCUCGCUGAUGAAUGUCGCUCGGGAACGUCGCUGAUAGUGCUCGUAGCUCGUAUAGAUGUCGCCUGAUCCUCCUCUGCGUAGUAGCACACACCUCGCAACGGGAGCCCGGCGGCGGCCACUGCCGUAAAACGCACAAUCUUCUCUUCUAGAGUUGACCUCGAAUCACGUAGGACUACCCGCUGAACUUAAGCAUAUCAAUAAGCGGAGGA
rnacentral:rRNA from 1 species